rnacentral:rRNA from 1 species
UACGUAGGGUGCAAGCGUUGUCCGGAAUUAUUGGGCGUAAAGAGCUCGUAGGCGGUCUGUCGCGUCUGCUGUGAAAACUCAGGGCUUAACCCUGAGCUUGCAGUGGGUACGGGCAGACUAGAGUGCGGGUAGGGGAGACUGGAAUUCCUGGUGUAGCGGUGAAAUGCGCAGAUAUCAGGAAGAACACCCCGUGGCUAAGGCGGCUCUCUAGUACGGUGAC